ensembl:lncRNA
GGUUUUCAGGGCUGGCAGCAUGUGCUCCCUCACUGGGAAUGAGGGGAGAGCCAAGAAAAAGCACGACUUGGAAAUUGCUCUCGUGCAUGCUGUGGUUGGGGACCAGCACUGUGAAAACUGGAGUUGCGGGUCCCCUCUGCAGUUCUCAUGGGAGCAGGAAUGAUUUUUCUGUGUGUGGGAGAUAGUUAUGGAUAGGCAAACGCAUAAAGACUGAAAUACAAAGAAAAGGUGUAGAGGCUGAGGGAGAGACGUGAAAGUUCCUGCCAUCAACUGCUCGGCCUUUUGCUUGGAAGGGUCAGGAAGCAACUUUUGUGCAUAUCCCAUUUAUAGCCCAGAGAACCUGAGGCUCUCCUGCUAUAAAAAUAGGGGAGAAUCCAUAAAAGCAGCAGCAUCUCAUAUUUAGAACAAAUCUUCUCUUACAAGACAGCAAGAAGCUAUAUGCUGUAAUUAGAAUUUCACUGAGUUAUUUUUUGUGUGGUGCAGCUAACGACACAGAACAUGGACUCCUGAUUGAAUACCAAGGCAGUAAAUCAAUUGAGGAUCUUUGCUACCGUUCAUGAAAUGCUCCAGCUGUGCUCCGGAGGAUUAUAGUGUCAACAGAACUCUUGAUUUGAAUCACAGCCUUGCCUUCACUCAGGGGCUGUAUAUUAGUCUUGAAAAGCAGACAGUGUUUCAUCGCUCAAAGAAAAGAGAAUUGCUGAGCUGAAAAUAAAACGAUGAUGUAGGGGAGGAACACUGUGACAUGACUAAAGAAGAUGGAUAGCAGAUUUCAGCAAAAUUCUCUAGAAAAUCACACUUUUUUUCCAUUUUACAAGACUUUAGUAUUUUCUGCUGGUUCCUGGUGUAGAGGACAUUGUGAUGCUUGAUUUGAUGACUUCUGUGCAGAUCCCAUCACCACUUUCAGUUAUUUUGCAAGGGUAAGAAAAUUUGGAAACGUGGUUCACCAUUGCCUGUACUUUUUUUUAAGCCAAGAUCUAUUCUGUUUGCAACAUAUUAUGUUGUUUAAUAUACAUUAUUUUAGCAUCUUUUUACAUGUGUUUUGGGAAGGCAGAUAUAAAAGAACUUUGACUUUCUUAUUCAGACACAAUUUCUUUCUAUUGUUGGAUUAUUACAAAAAAGGUACAAAGGUGGAAGUAAAAAGGAAUAUAGUUUUUGAUAUAAAGAUGCCUUUAGAUUUUGAUCUUUAGGAAUGUAAGCAGUGCUAUACCUAUGCUUACUAGGCAUUGUAAGCUCAUCAUAUCAAUCAAUUUUAAAACUCUCUUUCACAAAACUCUUCCCUUAGCUAUGGAAGAUUCCACUAACUGGUUUUAAAAGAUCUUACAGUUACUCAGUAAAUAGCCCACAAGAAGACCUCCAUGAUAAUGUCUUCAUACGGGAUUUAUACCUGUUUCCAUUUAAUGUCUUAUUUCUCUUACAG